AUGUGUUUGAAACCUAAACCAGAGAUUAAAGUUUGUCAGCAGAGAAGUUGGAGUAAAGAGCCAUAAUUAUUAAAAUAAUCCAGGGAAAUCUUGAGGAGUUUGAUACUUUCCAACCUCCAGCCAUUAAUCAUUUUGUGGGGGAAGGCUAUAUAUUGGUAGGAAUAAAAAGCAAGCAGUUCCUGGCCCGUGCGAGUCCAGUUAGGGGUGUCUGCCUAGCAGCAUGUUGGCACCAGCAUUGA
rnacentral:lncRNA from 1 species